AUUGAACGCUGGCGGCAUGCUUUACACAUGCAAGUCGAACGGCAGCACGGGGGCAACCCUGGUGGCGAGUGGCGAACGGGUGAGUAAUGCAUCGGAACGUGCCAUUGAGUGGGGGAUAACGUAGCGAAAGUUGCGCUAAUACCGCAUAUUCUGUGAGCAGGAAAGCAGGGGACCGCAAGGCCUUGCGCUCUUUGAGCGGCCGAUGUCAGAUUAGCUAGUUGGUGAGGUAACGGCUUACCAAGGCGACGAUCUGUAGCGGGUCUGAGAGGAUGAUCCGCCACACUGGAACUGAGACACGGUCCAGACUCCUACGGGAGGCAGCAGUGGGGAAUUUUGGACAAUGGGGGGCAACCCUGAUCCAGCCAUGCCGCGUGAGUGAAGAAGGCCU
rnacentral:rRNA from 1 species